UGCCCCCUUCUUCUGGAUAACCGCAUGAAAGUGUGGCUAAUACGGGAUAUUCUGGGUCUGUCGCAUGACGGGCCCGGGAAAGAUAUUGUUUCGGUGGGGGAUGGGCUCGCGGCCUAUCAGCUUGUUGGUGGGGUGAUGGCCUACCAAGGCGGUGACGGGUAGCCGGCCUGAGAGGGUGGACGGUCACACUGGGACUGAGACACGGCCCAGACUCCUACGGGAGGCAGCAGUGGGGAAUAUUGCACAAUGGGCGCAAGCCUGAUGCAGCGACGCCGCGUGAGGGAUGGAGGCCUUCGGGUUGUAAACCUCUUUCGCCAGUGAAGCAGGCCUGCUCCUUGUGGGUGGGUUGACGGUAGCUGGAUAAGAAGCGCCGGCUAACUACGUGCCAGCAGCCGCGGUAAUACGUAGGGCGCGAGCGUUGUCCGGAAUUAUUGGGCGUAAAGGGCUCGUAGGCGGCUUGUCGCGUCUGCUGUGAAAAUGCGGGGCUUAACUCCGUACGUGCAGUGGGUACGGGCAGGCUAGAGUGCGGUAGGGGUGACUGGAAUUCCUGGUGUAGCGGUGGAAUGCGCAGAUAUCAGGAGGAACACCGAUGGCGAAGGCAGGUCUCUGGGCUGUAACUGACGCUGAGAAGCGAAAGCAUGGGGAGCGAACAGGAUUAGAUACCCUGGUAGUCCAUGCCGUAAACGUUGGGCACUAGGUGUGGGGGACAUUCCACGUUUUCCGCGCCGUAGCUAACGCAUUAAGUGCCCCGCCUGGGGAGUACGGCCGCAAGGCUAAAACUCAAAGGAAUUGACGGGGGCCCGCACAAGCGGCGGAGCAUGCGGAUUAAUUCGAUGCAACGCGAAGAACCUUACC
rnacentral:rRNA from 1 species